CACAAUACCCGACAAGCUAGAAUGAAGCCAAGGAUCCAUUUCAGGAUUGUCUAUGCUUAUUUUAGUCGAUCCCACACGAAAAAAUUAUUCGUGAUGAGGCAAAAUUGAAGCUCCAACAUUAAAAAGCUUUAAAAAAGCAGGAGGAUAGUGAUUAUAUACAACCUUCAUUCAAACACAAUAUUACAAAGUUUACACCUUUGCUUCAUUUUUUGGGGGGUGCAAAAUGUACACUGUUGUUUUAAACCUUAAUAAUAUAAAAUGACCCUCAAGGACCCCAUGGUUCAGUAUGCCAGAAACUGAAACAACAUCAUCAAGAGAGAGUUUUUUACAAGGCUUUACGGUUCUUUCUACCGGAGAAAGCUUUACACAUAAAAUAACGCCAGCUUUUUGAGGCAAGGGCUAUCCUGAGAGGGAGAGUAAUAUCUUACAAAUUGCAUGAAUCAUNNNNNNNNNNNNNNNNNN
rnacentral:lncRNA from 1 species